GUGCUCGCUUCAGCAGCACAUACACUAAAAUUGGAACAGUACGGAGAAGAUUAGCAUGGCCCCUGCACAAGGAUGACACGAAGCUUCAUGAAGCGUUCCAUAUUAUU
ensembl:snRNA U6 U6 spliceosomal RNA